AGAAAGAAAGAAAGAAAGAAAGAAAGAAAGAAAGAAAGAAAGCCAAACAGCAGCCUGAAGACUCAGACACACGUCUGCAUGUUUGUGUACCUGCGUGUGUGUGGAUGCAUGUUCAGAGCUGGAUCCAAGCACCCUCCAGGGUAAUUCAGAUACUGCAGCUGACCAUCCAAGAGCAGCCAAGGGGAUAAACCACAGGGCCUAGAGCCCCCUGCUUUAAUUUACAACAUUUAGCCAGCAGCUUCCGGAAUAAUCCAGCCAGCCCUCCAGAUACAGCCCCGGAGACUCACAGACCUAAACUUGUGGUGGAGUCUGAGGCCCUGGGGAGGAAAAGCAGGGGCCUAAGAGGCAGGAAUGGAAAGCAGCCGGGAUCCGGAACCUCCUCACACAGUAGCCACUGGACGAGACCUUGGCACAGGUGUGGAUGGACAGAAAGCUGGAGAGAAACAGCAGGUUUCUCCAUCCAUGACCUGGAGAGAGCCCUCCAAAAUGUCCACGACACUCUCCCCCGUCAAGGAGGGUCCAGCCUGAGUACCCUGGGUGAAUCAGAGCUGCAGCUGCUCUCCAUGCACCUGCCUGCAGCCCCCAUAGGAACCUCAGUCACAGAGCAGUUUUCAGCACUUGUGGAUGUGUGAUGAUCCCUGAGCAGGGAACUGAAGAGACUUCCACCCACAUGUCUUUGACCAAAUCUGAAGAUGAGAAUAUCUGCUAAGCAAGGCUCCGGAGAGGACUCCCAAGGUCACGUGUGCGGGUCUAUCGGUACCUUGAACAUCUAAUGAGCGCUCAGUAACUGUCUGCUGAAUGGACAGAGGAUUGUCCAGGUUCAUCUAUGUAUCCCUUCAUGAGACCCCAAAGAUGCAGGGGGACAGAUAUCCUUUCUGGGACUCUUAGAAGUCUUAGAACCUGACAGCUGGCUUUGCAACUUUAUGUCCUCAUCUGUGUAACAACCCUCAGCCCCCUCGACAGAGAGCAGUCCCCUCCCAGACACUGAGGCAGAGUUUAUCUAGUAAAAGCAGUCAGGAAAAUAAACUUACCUAGGGGAGGGGGGAGGCGUGGAGGGCCACAGCUUGUGCUGCGGAAAGGAAUGUUCUCGUCGCCCCACAUCUGCACCGCACAUUUAGCCUGGGUGGAUGUUUGCACCUCUGGGUCUGACCUCGGCAAGACCCUGAGCGGCUCAGCUUGUGAGUCUGCCAAGAAACAAUCUCUAGCCUCCCUUGACAUCCCGCUGGAAGCAAGAGCCUUAAGCCUUAUGCUCAAAUCCUAGUCUAGA